GAACGCGGCGCGCGUUCUGAAAACAAAUUUUCUCCGUGGCUGCAACGCUAGAGCGGCAACGCGUGGAGCAUUUGCUUGGCGGCUUUGGUGGGGCAUGCUGCACCGUAAACGCGAUUGCUUUUCUUCGAUUGUGCGUGGUUCGUCGUACAUGGAAGCGCAACGAUGCCUGGCUGUUGUUGCGCACCAAACUGCAAGUCCAAUUAUGACGGAGGACCAAGUGUCCGAGUGCACAAGUUCCCAUCUGACCGAGCCACUCGGGAAGCACGGACGAGAGCAGUUCCUCGGAAGGACUUCUCGCCAACGAAGUACACAGUGCUCUGUGAAAAGCAUUUCUUGCCAUCGGAUUACUUGAAGACGACAUCUUACACGGAUGUCAAGACAGGAAAAGUGGUCGAAGUUGCCAUGAAAAACAUUCGUCUGAAGAAAACUGCACUUCCGAGCUUGUUUCCCAAUUGCCCUGCCUAUUUAUCGCGUCCGCAAGUGUGCGUUCGAGAAGCGCCGGCUGCCAAAAGAGCGCGCUUGGAAGCCACAUAUUUGCAAAAAGCAAUAAUGCUUUCUCAGCAAACCCAAGCAGAAGAGGACGCCAAAAAUCUGGUUGGUAGCUUUGCGGACUUGCUGAAGGCCUUGCCAAGCUUUCAGUGUUCGGACUUCUGGACAGUUUUGAACAAGGGCUCCAAGGUUUUCUUUUUGGACUUGUCACUUCAAUCUGCUCCUGCAGUCCGUACUUCGGUGAUCGUGUCCACAGACCUGCGCGUCGAAGUAUUUUUUGGUGAAACGGGUGUGAGGAAGUGUGGUGAUGUUUUAGUUCCUGAAAAGCUGUGCGACUUGAGAGAUUUGAAAAGUGUGUUACACAUGAUCGAACAGACACGUACGGAUAUCAGCACUGAGCGUUCUGAAAAGGCCCGUAAUCUACUGACAUUGGUUUCGACAUUGCUAGAGGAAGUAAGUGGAAAACAUUUCGCAUGCGAGUUGCAAGAAUGGCAUUUUGAAGUGCUUAAAUUCUUGAAGAGUCAA